AAUUCCAGCAUACUUUUAUGAUAAACAACAAAAAUAUCAACAAAAAAAAUAUUCAAAAGUGGACCCUACAUACAAAGAUAUAUUAUGGAACACCAUUAUAAAAAUCAGCAUUAUGUCAACAGUUGUACCAAUAUGUGACCCCCGCAGGAAUAAAAUCAGAAAGUAACAAGAGGACAAAAUAUCAAAAUAUACUUUGAAGAUAAUAUUUCAACAAAAGAAGAUAAACAUGAAGUAAAGUCUACAUAAGUAGUUUCAGCUAACAUGUAACCUAUUCCAAGCCACGUAAAAUUAUCAUCAGUUAUUUUAGUAGGUAGUAGUUACAGGUUAAAAAAAAUGAGGUGUAUUAGGGUAUACAUACAUGUAAAAUAGAUAUCAUAGUAUGUUAGAUUAGUCAGCAAUUUUGAAGCCUAUUUAAGGCUUUCAACUUGUACUAGUAUGAGGCAUUCAAAAUCAUAAAACUUUGAAAUCUCUCAACUUUCUCCCAUGUUGCAUGUUCUCUCUGUGUUCCCUAAAUAAAUCAUGUUAUUUUGUUAUGGAUCCUUAAAGGAUGUAUCUAUGAUUUAGGAGCUUAAUAUGUGAUUCCCAAGCUCAAGGAAAGGAAUACUUAAGUCCAAGGGUGUCUUAAUGUUUAGCUUACUGUAAAGUCUUAUAAAUCGUAUAGUUAUGAAUUAUGUUACAAGGGUCGUGUCCCUAAUGUACACUAAUUAUGUUGAGUCUAACAUGGAAAAAAGAGACUUAGAGUCCUUAAUAUGUAUAAAGAUAUUUUAUAUAUAUUAAAAGUAAUGUUCUAGCA